rnacentral:rRNA from 1 species
GACAGAGGGUGCAAACGUUGUUCGGAAUUACUGGGCGUAAAGCGCGUGUAGGCGGCCAUCUAAGUCGGGCGUGAAAUCCCACGGCUCAACCGUGGAAGUGCACUCGAAACUGGAUGGCUAGAGUCCUGGAGAGGAAGGUGGAAUGCUUGGUGUAGAGGUGAAAUUCGUAGAUAUCAAGCGGAACACCGGCGGCGAAGGCGGCCUUCUGGACAGUGACUGACGCUGAGACGCGAAAGCGUGGGGAGCAAACAGG